rnacentral:rRNA from 1 species
GACAGAGGGUGCAAACGUUUGUUCGGAAUUACUGGGCGUAAAGCGAGUGUAGGCGGUUCUCAAAGUCGGAUGUGAAAGCCCCGGGCUCAACCCGGGAAGUGCACCCGAUACUGGAGAGCUAGAGUGUCGGAGAGGUUGGUGGAAUUCUCGGUGUAGAGGUGAAAUUCGUAGAUAUCGAGAGGAACACCGGUGGCGAAGGCGACUCACUGGACACGUAUUGACGCUGAGGUGCGAAAGCGUGGGGAGCAAACAGG